UACGUAGGGGGCAAGCGUUGUCCGGAAUCAUUGGGCGUAAAGAGCGUGUAGGCGGCUCGAUCAGUCUGCUGUGAAAGUCCAGGGCUCAACCCUGGAAGGCCGGUGGAAACUGUCGGGCUAGAGUCCGGAAGAGGCGAGUGGAAUUCCCGGUGUAGCGGUGAAAUGCGCAGAUAUCGGGAGGAACACCAAUGGCGAAGGCAGCUCGCUGGGACGGUACUGACGCUGAGACGCGAAAGCGUGGGGAGCAAACAGG
rnacentral:rRNA from 1 species